rnacentral:rRNA from 1 species
AUUGAAGAGUUUGAUCAUGGCUCAGAUUGAACGCUGGCGGCAGGCCUAACACAUGCAAGUCGAGCGGCAGCGACAACAUUGAACCUUCGGGGGAUUUGUUGGGCGGCGAGCGGCGGACGGGUGAGUAAUGCCUAGGAAAUUGCCCUGAUGUGGGGGAUAACCAUUGGAAACGAUGGCUAAUACCGCAUGAUGCCUACGGGCCAAAGAGGGGGACCUUCGGGCCUCUCGCGUCAGGAUAUGCCUAGGUGGGAUUAGCUAGUUGGUGAGGUAAGGGCUCACCAAGGCGACGAUCCCUAGCUGGUCUGAGAGGAUGAUCAGCACACUGGAACUGAGACACGGUCCAGACUCCUACGGGAGGCAGCAGUGGGGAAUAUUGCACAAUGGGCGCAAGCCUGAUGCAGCCAUGCCGCGUGUAUGAAGAAGGCCUCGGGUUGUAAAGUACUUUCAGUAGGGAGGAAGGUUCAUGCGUUAAUAGCGUAUGGAUUUGACGUUACCUACAGAAGAAGCACCGGCUAACUCCGUGCCAGCAGCCGCGGUAAUACGGAGGGUGCGAGCGUUAAUCGGAAUUACUGGGCGUAAAGCGCAUGCAGGUGGUUAGUUAAGUCAGAUGUGAAAGCCCGGGGCUCAACCUCGGAAUUGCAUUUGAAACUGGCUGACUAGAGUACUGUAGAGGGGGGUAGAAUUUCAGGUGUAGCGGUGAAAUGCGUAGAGAUCUGAAGGAAUACCGGUGGCGAAGGCGGCCCCCUGGACAGAUACUGACACUCAGAUGCGAAAGCGUGGGGAGCAAACAGGAUUAGAUACCCUGGUAGUCCACGCCGUAAACGAUGUCUACUUGGAGGUUGUGGCCUUGAGCCGUGGCUUUCGGAGCUAACGCGUUAAGUAGACCGCCUGGGGAGUACGGUCGCAAGAUUAAAACUCAAAUGAAUUGACGGGGGCCCGCACAAGCGGUGGAGCAUGUGGUUUAAUUCGAUGCAACGCGAAGAACCUUACCUACUCUUGACAUCCAUAGAACUUAGCAGAGAUGCUUUGGUGCCUUCGGGAACUAUGAGACAGGUGCUGCAUGGCUGUCGUCAGCUCGUGUUGUGAAAUGUUGGGUUAAGUCCCGCAACGAGCGCAACCCUUAUCCUUGUUUGCCAGCGAGUAAUGUCGGGAACUCCAGGGAGACUGCCGGUGAUAAACCGGAGGAAGGUGGGGACGACGUCAAGUCAUCAUGGCCCUUACGAGUAGGGCUACACACGUGCUACAAUGGCGUAUACAGAGGCUGCCAACCAGCGAUGGUGAGCGAAUCCCAAAAAGUACGUCGUAGUCCGGAUUGGAGUCUGCAACUCGACUCCAUGAAGUCGGAAUCGCUAGUAAUCGUGGAUCAGAAUGCCACGGUGAAUACGUUCCCGGGCCUUGUACACACCGCCCGUCACACCAUGGGAGUGGGCUGCAAAAGAAGUGGGUAGUUUAACCUUCGGGAGGACGCUCACCACUUUGUGGU